rnacentral:rRNA from 1 species
UACAUAGGGUGCAAGCGUUAAUCGGAAUUACUGGGCGUAAAGCGUGCGCAGGCGGUGAUGUAAGACAGAUGUGAAAUCCCCGGGCUUAACCUGGGAACUGCAUUUGUGACUGCAUCGCUGGAGUGCGGCAGAGGGGGAUGGAAUUCCGCGUGUAGCAGUGAAAUGCGUAGAUAUGCGGAGGAACACCGAUGGCGAAGGCAAUCCCCUGGGCCUGCACUGACGCUCAUGCACGAAAGCGUGGGGAGCAAACAGG